GCACUGUUGAUGAGUCCCAAAUAGGACGAAACAACUGUCCAGUGC
rnacentral:hammerhead_ribozyme from 1 species